rnacentral:rRNA from 1 species
AUUGAACGCUGGCGGCAUGCCUUACACAUGCAAGUCGAACGGUAACGGGCCUUCGGGUGCCGACGAGUGGCGAACGGGUGAGUAAUACAUCGGAACGUGCCCGAACGUGGGGGAUAACGAGGCGAAAGCUUUGCUAAUACCGCAUACGAGCUACGGAUGAAAGCAGGGGACCGCAAGGCCCUGCUCGGACGGAGCGGCCGAUGGCAGAUUAGGGAGUUGGUGGGAUAAAAGCUUACCAAGCCGACGAUCUGUAGCUGGUCUGAGAGGAUGAUCAGCCACACUGGGACUGAGACACGGCCCAGACUCCUACGGGAGGCAGCAGUGGGGAAUUUUGGACAAUGGGCGCAAGCCUGAUCCAGCUAUGCCGCGUGCAGGAUGAAGGCCUUCGGGCUGUAAACUGCUUUUGUACGGAACGAAAAGCCUUCUUCUAAUACAGGAGGGUCAUGACGGUACCGUAAGAAUAAGCACCGGCUAACUACGUGCCAGCCGCCGCCGUAA